rnacentral:rRNA from 1 species
GACGAACGCUGGCGGCGUGCUUAACACAUGCAAGUCGAACGGAAAGGCCCUGCUUUUGUGGGGUGCUCGAGUGGCGAACGGGUGAGUAACACGUGAGAAACCUGCCCUUGACUUUGGGAUAACUUUAGGAAACUGGGGCUAAUACCGGAUAGGAGCUCCUGCUGCACGGUGGUGGUUGGAGAGUUUCGGCGGUUGGGGAUGGACUCGCGGCUUAUCAGCUUGUUUGUGGGGUAGUGGCUUACCAAGGCUUUGAAGGGUAGCCGGCCUGAGAGGGUGACCGGCCACAUGGGGACUGAGAUACGGCCCAGACUCCUACGGGAGGCAGCAGUGGGGAAUAUUGCGCAAUGGGCGGACGCCUGAUGCAGCAACGCCGCGUGCGGGAUGACGUCCUUCGGGUUGUAAACCGCUUUCGCCUGUGACGAAGCGUGAGUGACGGUAAUGGGUAAAGAAGCACCGGCUAACUACGUG